AGUGGCUCAUUUUUCUGAUGUAACCGUCUGGAGGCGGUCAGUCCGGGGCUUAUGUAGCUGCUCAUGGAUGUUGCCAAGGACCCAGGACCCUUCCAGCUUCCUCCUCUACCAUCAUCAGACCUGGUGUUCGUCUUCUUCAUUGAAUGGCUGUUCCACCUCCAUGACCACAUCUAUGUUCUAUGCUGGACAUAGAAGAAAAUAGUGAAGGGCUAUAAGGAUGAACUAAGAUUACAGAAAAUGAGAUUGAGAAACCCUCCUUCCUCAGUUGGUCCAGGAUCAACCACCUUUCCACUCUACAAGCGCUACCUGGGGGCAUCUCUGUCUUCUGUGAUAAAUUAAAAUCAGUUACCAACCCUG